ACGGGUGAGUAACGCGUGGGAACAUACCCUUUUCUACGGAAUAGCUCUGGGAAACUGGAAUUAAUACCGUAUACGCCCUACGGGGGAAAGAUUUAUCGGGGAAGGAUUGGCCCGCGUUGGAUUAGCUAGUUGGUGGGGUAAAGGCCUACCAAGGCGACGAUCCAUAGCUGGUCUGAGAGGAUGAUCAGCCACAUUGGGACUGAGACACGGCCCAAACUCCUACGGGAGGCAGCAGUGGGGAAUAUUGGACAAUGGGCGCAAGCCUGAUCCAGCCAUGCCGCGUGAGUGAUGAAGGCCUUAGGGUUGUAAAGCUCUUUCACCGAUGAAGAUAAUGACGGUAGUCGGAGAAGAAGCCCCGGCUAACUUCGUGCCAGCAGCCGCGGUAAUACGAAGGGGGCUAGCGUUGUUCGGAAUUACUGGGCGUAAAGCGCACGUAGGCGGAUAUUUAAGUCAGGGGUGAAAUCCCAGAGCUCAACUCUGGAACUGCCCUUGAUACUGGGUAUCUUGAGUAUGGAAGAGGUAAGUGGAAUUGCGAGUGUAGAGGUGAAAUUCGUAGA
rnacentral:rRNA from 1 species